ACUUCGGUGGGGAUUAGUGGCGAACGGGUGAGUAACACGUGGGCAAUCUGCCCUUCACUCUGGGACAAGCCCUGGAAACGGGGUCUAAUACCGGAUACAACCACUACAGGCAUCUGUGGGUGGUGGAAAGCUCCGACUCCGGCGGUGAAGGAUGAGCCCGCGGCCUAUCAGCUUGUUGGUGAGGUAACGGCUCACCAAGGCGACGACGGGUAGCCGGCCUGAGAGGGCGACCGGCCACACUGGGACUGAGACACGGCCCAGACUCCUACGGGAGGCAGCAGUGGGGAAUAUUGCACAAUGGGCGAAAGCCUGAUGCAGCGACGCCGCGUGAGGGAUGACGGCCUUCGGGUUGUAAACCUCUUUCAGCAGGGAAGAAGCGAAAGUGACGGUACCUGCAGAAGAAGCGCCGGCUAACUACGUGCCAGCAGCCGCGGUAAUACGUAGGGCGCGAGCGUUGUCCGGAAUUAUUGGGCGUAAAGAGCUCGUAGGCGGUCUGUCGCGUCGGAUGUGAAAGCCCGGGGCUUAACCCCGGGUCUGCAUUCGAUACGGGCAGACUAGAGUGUGGUAGGGGAGAUCGGAAUUCCUGGUGUAGCGGUGAAAUGCGCAGAUAUCAGGAGGAACACCGGUGGCGAAGGCGGAUCUCUGGGCCAUUACUGACGCUGAGGAGCGAAAGCGUGGGGAGCGAACAGGAUUAGAUACCCUGGUAGUCCACGCCGUAAACGGUGGGAACUAGGUGUUGGCGACAUUCCACGUCGUCGGUGCCGCAGCUAACGCAUUAAGUUCCCCGCCUGGGGAGUACGGCCGCAAGGCUAAAACUCGGGGGCCCGCACAAGCAGCGGAGCAUGUGGCUUAAUUCGACGCAACGCGAAGAACCUUACCAAGGCUUGACAUCGCCCGGAAAGCAUCAGAGAUGGUGCCCCCCUUGUGGUCGGGUGACAGGUGGUGCAUGGCUGUCGUCAGCUCGUGUCGUGAGAUGUUGGGUUAAGUCCCGCAACGAGCGCAACCCUUGUUCUGUGUUGCCAGCAUGCCCUUCGGGGUGAUGGGGACUCACAGGAGACUGCCGGGGUCAACUCGGAGGAAGGUGGGGACGACGUCAAGUCAUCAUGCCCCUUAUGUCUUGGGCUGCACACGUGCUACAAUGGCAGGUACAAUGAGCUGCGAAGCCGUGAGGCCAUCCUUCACCGCCGGAGCGAAUCUCAAAAAGCCUGUCUCUGUUAGGAUUGGGGUCUGCAACUCGACCCCAUUUAGUCGGAGUUGCUAGUAAUCGCAGAUCAGCAUUGCUGCGGUGAAUACGUUCCCGGGCCUAAUACACACCGCCCGUCACGUCACGAAAGUCGGUAACACGACCCGAAGCCGGUGGCCCAACCCC
rnacentral:rRNA from 1 species